CUACUGCCUGAACUGUACUGAUGCAGACUACAGCCCAAGCUUUCGUAACCUCUCUUACACAAUAGUACAAGGGAACACAACUCUUUUCAGUGUGAACAGCUCAGGAGCAAUAGUCACUCUCGAUGUCUUAGAUUACAAACUCAUUGAAAAAGAGACAUUUUUAAUCAAAGUUUCAGAUGAUGGACCGCAUGCUUCGCCUACAGUGACUGUCGUUAUAGAGGUGACUGGAAUAAAUGACAAGUCUUCAUCCUCUCCCUGGCAACCUGCAAUCCUGACUGACAGUACAUACUAUUUGGCUGAGAACAGCAGUGUGGGGACCACUUUGUUCACAGUGAACGCCAAUGACAACGAUAAGAGGAAUGGCACUACUAGUAAGUCAAUGGAACGGCUAUUCUGAGUACAUAACUGUUUGGGAAUGAAACAUACGCGAUACAAAA
rnacentral:sRNA from 1 species